rnacentral:rRNA from 1 species
AGAUUCAUUGCAUACGGAUCGGCUCGCGUGCCAUUAGGUAGACGGCGGGGUAACGGCCCACCGUGCCGACGAUGGCUAGGGGUUCUGAGAGGAAGGUCCCCCACAUUGGAACUGAGACACGGUCCAGACUCCUACGGGAGGCAGCAGUGAGGAAUAUUGGACAAUGGCCGGAAGGCUGAUCCAGCCAUGCCGCGUGCGGGAAGACGGCCCUAUGGGUUGUAAACCGCUUUUGCGAGGGAGCAAUAAGGGCAACGUGUUGUCCGAUGAGAGUACCUCGCGAAUAAGCAUCGGCUAACUCCGUGCCAGCAGCCGCGGUAAUACGGAGGAUGCAAGCGUUAUCCGGAUUUAUUGGGUUUAAAGGGUGCGCAGGCGGCUUGUUAAGCGGGAGGUGAAAUGCCGGCGCUCAACGUCGGAAGUGCCUCCCGAACUGGUGAGCUUGAAUGACUCUGCCGUGGGAGGAAUGUGUAGUGUAGCGGUGAAAUGCUUAGAGAUUACACAGAACACCGAUUGCGAAGGCAUCCCACGAAGGGUUGAUUGACGCUGAGGCACGAAAGCGUGGGGAUCAAACAGGAUUAGAUAC